GCUGGGGCUGGGGCUGGGAGGAGGAGGAUGGAGAGGAGCCAGGAUCCUGCUCAAAACCGGACCCCGGGACCUCUUCGGGCUCUGGGUCCUCCUCCGUGUCCGGCUGAACCUUCAUCGCUUCGGCUGCUCUGGCCGCUCCAUCCCGGCGCUGUUCCAGGCCACGGAAUUCCCAUAAAACCCCCAAAAUUCACUCAAAAAAACCCCAAAAUUCACUCAAAAAAUUCCCAAAUUUCACUC